rfam:Desulfovibrio sp. JC271 contig31, whole genome shotgun sequence.
GGUCGGGAGUAUGAGGGCUAUACAAUACCUGUAAAGGGAAAUCCCUCUGGCCGGUUCUGUUGGACGGUUGUUGAAGCUCCCGACUUUUUUGCG